rnacentral:misc_RNA from 1 species
GUGCAAGGCAGUUUGGCUCAUCUCCUCUAGUGGAAGAUCACAUCUGCCUUCAAUGUCAUGUGAUAGAAUAUUACUGAUGUUAUAUUCUUCCUUUGAAUUGCUUUGUUGGUUCAGGCGUUUCUUUUUAAUAGGAACCCCCUACACGCACACACUGGGCAUCUCUGUCUUAUAUAGUGUUUGUUGUGCAUUUCUGCAGCUUGCAUUAGGCAAAAUAUCUACUAUUAGAUUAGGUGAUAGGACUUUUCCUUGAUUCUGGCAAUCGGCACGGCUUUUCUUCGUGAGAUUGGACUUUAGGUAGGAUAUGUGUUGGCUUUUUGGGUCAGGACGAUAAGUUCACCUGUCCUGAAAAGUAUUGCUAGUGACGCAAAUUGAGAGUUGUCAAAAAUCAAAUGUAUUUUUGAAGAAAUGGAUUUUGUUGGGUGAACAUAGGUACUCAGAUUUUGGCCUCCAAAAUUUUUCCCUAUCAAACAAGAAGAGCUCAAAAUUUUCAAAGUACAGAACAAGUCUAAACACAACUUGCUAGGAAAAUUAGUUCUGCUUGCUUUGACGAAUUGAGCAUGCAAAAUGAGUUCUACAGAAAUGAAAACUUGAGUUGUUAAAUCUAGAAAAUAAAAGAGCUAAAAAGAAUUAACAUUGGAAACCUAACACUGAUCAGUGGUUCACGGUAUUGGCAACCUUUUACCAACAUUAAUGACUUGUGAAAAUUGAUGUCUUUCUUGAUUUCUUUUGGUUUGUCUUAUAGGGUGCUAGAAUAAGUUAGGAUAAUCUGCUUUACAGUCCAUCUGCCUGAAAUCUUCCUGGAUCUUAUUAGUAACUGACCGUGAUUGUGUCCAGGAGACACUAAGAGUUACAAUAAGAGGCAAAUGUGAAAGCAUUAUUUGUGUGUUUAAAUCUGGUACUUUAAUAUUUAAGCUAAUGAUAUG